UUCGAACCCACGACCCUCUGUUUCAAAGUCAGAAGACUUAUCCACUGGGCCACAACGCUCCACAAGAAAUCUGAUCAAUCUGGUUUCUGUCCCUUCCAUUUGGUGAGUACCGUGUCACAGUGUGAAUGUCUUUAUGCUGGAAGAGUGUCCCCCAAUAACAAGGUUGUUAAUAGAGCAGAAUUCCAUGAGGCAUUCCCCAUUUUCGUUUUUCACCCCACAUCCAUACUUCCUCAUAGUCAUAUCGUAACCGCUGUUGUUUCCGACCUUAGCAUGUAGAUCCCCCAUCACAACCUUCAUGUCAUGUCCAGGGAUACUGUCAAUCUCACGCUGAAGUUGCUAAUAGAAGGCAUCCUUGAUUUCAUCGUCAUUGGUUUGAAGUUUGAACCAAACUUGGAUGGUAGAUGUACUUAGGCGACCUGCAUGUUAGAUAUAAAUUUAUUUAUUUCUGUUAAAAAAAUGAUAUGAUCAAAGUAGCAGUGUAAAUACCUGUUCAAAAUAAUACAUACUCACAAUAACGUGUAACGCUGCAGUUCGAAACAGUCAAACAGGGAGGACCUAUGGGUCAUUGGUUGAGAAAUGCUAUUAGAAAUUGAAGUUUUUAGACUUGGAUUUAGGGCAGAUAGCGCUGCAUUUUCCAUUUCAAGCAUCAAGAACAUGACUGCUGAAAAUUGAGGCCUUCCUGAUGAUUUCCUGCCUUUAGUCACAGAAGUCAAACUAUGGGUUCCAAUUCCGAUUCCACUCGUUCCACUGGUUAUUUCAAUUCUGGUUCUGAGUUUGUUUUCAACCGCCAUUACAGUAGCCGUUCCGGUCCCAUCUCCGUAUCCAGAUCCACCAUGAUUAUGACUGUCAAAUCUCGCUAUGGACAAGAUUUGUAAAGAGAGUCAAAGGGAAGACAGUUCCGUCGUCAGAUGAUUAUUGACUGGGCAUGGGGUGACCUUGUGAAUGCUCUCUCUGGACUUUUCUGUGCAUCCUUAAACUUCAUUGAUGAAACAAGCACAGUCAGACAUCCACUCUCUUUUCGACCACAAGGAAUAUCUUCAGGUAUGUCUCAUCAUUUUACUUUCUCCAAUGCUUUAGUUCAUGGACCCCCAGUUGUUUUUAACUUGUUUAAUUUGUAAAGCUUUUCAGAAAAAAGCAAAUUGAAAUUUAAACUCUAUAUGAACAGUCAGUACUUCACAGUGCAUUUUUUUAUUUUACCUUCAUACUAUAAAUAUUUUCAAGCUAUCUUUUUGUUAAAAGAAAAAGCAGUCCAAAAUCUUGCCGCAGGCUUAUGGGACAAGCAAAAGAUUGAUGUAAUCCUGAUUGAUUUUUCGAAGGCCUUCAACUGGGUACCACAUGAACGCUUUCUGGUAUCGGAGGUCAGCUCUUGUCCUGGAUCUGUGAAUUCCUCAUAGGACAUAUCCAACAAGUGGCACUAGAGGAAGCCAAGAGUGGCACAUCAAUUCUAUCUUCUGGAGUGUCCUAGGGGUCUAUCCUUGGGCCUCUGCUCUUU
rnacentral:lncRNA from 1 species